rnacentral:sRNA from 1 species
UUCGGUCAUAUUUCAACGCAGUGCCGAUC